rnacentral:rRNA from 1 species
UACGGAGGGUGCAAGCGUUGUUCGGAAUUACUGGGCGUAAAGCACGCGUAGGCGGCUUGGUAAGUUGGAAGUGAAAUCCCGGGGCUUAACCUCGGAACUGCUUUCAAAACUAUCAAGCUAGAGUAUGGCAGGGGACAGUGGAAUUCCUAGUGUAGAGGUGAAAUUCGUAGAUAUUAGGAGGAACACCAGUGGCGAAAGCGACUGUCUGGACCAUUACUGACGCUGAGGCGUGAAAGCGUGGGGAGCAAACAGG